rnacentral:rRNA from 1 species
UGGGGAAUUUUGGACAAUGGGGCAACCCUGAUCCAGCAAUGCCGCGUGAGUGAAGAAGGCCUUCGGGUUGUAAAGCUCUUUUGUCCGGGAAGAAAUCCUCUUGGUUAAUACCUGAGAGGGAUGACGGUACUGGAAGAAUAAGCACCGGCUAACUACGUGCCAGCAGCCGCGGUAAUACGUAGGGUGCAAGCGUUAAUCGGAAUUACUGGGCGUAAAGCGUGCGCAGGCGGUUGUGCAAGACCGAUGUGAAAUCCCCGGGCUUAACCUGGGAACUGCAUUGGUGACUGCACGGCUAGAGUGUGUCAGAGGGGGGUAGAAUUCCACGUGUAGCAGUGAAAUGCGUAGAGAUGUGGAGGAAUACCGAUGGCGAAGGCAGCCCCCUGGGAUAACACUGACGCUCAUGCACGAAAGCGUGGGGAGCAAACAGGAUUAGAUACCCUGGUAGUCCACGCCCUAAACGAUGUCAACUAGUUGUCGGGUCUU